UUGACCUCGGAUCAGGUAGGGAUACCCGCUGAACUUAAGCAUAUCAAUAAGCGGAGGAAAAGAAACCAACAGGGAUUGCCCCAGUAACGGCGAGUGAAGCGGCAAGAGCUCAAAUUUGAAAGCUGGCUCCUUCGGGGUCCGCAUUGUAAUUUGUAGAGGAUGCUUCGGGAGCGGUCCCCAUCUAAGUGCCCUGGAACGGGACGUCAUAGAGGGUGAGAAUCCCGUAUGGGAUGGGGUGUCCGCGCCCGUGUGAAGCUCCUUCGACGAGUCGAGUUGUUUGGGAAUGCAGCUCUAAAUGGGUGGUAAAUUUCAUCUAAAGCUAAAUAUUGGCCGGAGACCGAUAGCGCACAAGUAGAGUGAUCGAAAGAUGAAAAGCACUUUGAAAAGAGAGUUAAAAAGCACGUGAAAUUGUUGAAAGGGAAGCGCUUGCGACCAGACUCGCUCGCGGGGUUCAGCCGGCAUUCGUGCCGGUGUACUUCCCCGCGGGCGGGCCAGCGUCGGUUUGGGCGGUCGGUCAAAGGCCCUCGGAAGGUAACGCCCCUAGGGGCGUCUUAUAGCCGAGGGUGCAAUGCGACCUGCCUAGACCGAGGAACGCGCUUCGGCUC
rnacentral:rRNA from 1 species